rnacentral:rRNA from 1 species
AACGAACGCUGGCGGCAUGCCUAACACGUGCAAGUCGAACGAGACCUUCGGGUCUAGUGGCGCACGGGUGCGUAACGCGUGGGAACCUGCCCUUAGGUUCGGAAUAACUCCCCGAAAGGGGUGCUAAUACCGGAUAAUGUCUUCGGACCAAAGAUUUAUCGCCUUUGGAUGGGCCCGCGUUGGAUUAGCUAGUUGGUAGGGUAAAAGCCUACCAAGGCGACGAUCCGUAGCUGGUCUGAGAGGAUGAUCAGCCACACUGGGACUGAGACACGGCCCAGACUCCUACGGGAGGCAGCAGUGGGGAAUAUUGGACAAUGGGCGAAAGCCUGAUCCAGCAAUGCCGCGUGAGUGAUGAAGGCCUUAGGGUUGUAAAGCUCUUUUACCCGGGAUGAUAAUGACAGUACCGGGAGAAUAAGCUCCGGCUAACUCCGUG